GAGCAAAAAAACGUUGUUGAGCUUGGUUAGGUUGGAAAAUACCAGUGAACUAGUCAUAUGUGCACUUUGACCUGGCCUAUGAAAACAAAGGAUGUUUGCACCUAGGUGUGAAUAAAGAAAAUAUAAUAUGGCCUUUAAAUAUACCAGUUCAAGGUACAACCUGGCACUGAUGAUGCCUCAGGAAGACAGUUCUGGGGCCUCACUAGUCCUGUCUACUUGAUGGGGGAAAGGAGUAGAAGAACUAUGAAUGGGAAUAUAAAAUUAUGUUUCUAGCAAAUAAACAUAUAACUUCUUCUAAAUUCAUGAAGCCUAGGUGUUAAAACUAGACAAAGAUGAGGAUACAUGUCCUCUCUUUUGGAAGGGAGCAAUAAUUGAAUAAAAUUAGAUAUGUCAAGCAGAAGACUCAAUAGUGCUUAAAAUACAGUCUUAAAUUAUGCAGAAGACUUCCAUUUGCAGCUGACAAACAGCAUGUGAUUUAAUAAUUAAUUAUCUGGUGUAUCUGUCAAUUACAGAUUAGUCCACUUAUUUCCUAGCUGUCUUUUUGGUUUUUGUUGUUUGUUUGUUUUCCUAAGAGCAAUAUUUUAAGGUGUUGCAGUGGAGUGGUUUUAUUACCUAAAUUAGCUCAGUUUCUUAAAAGUUUUAAACAUUAGAUAGUUUUCAGGAAACUUUUAAGCAUUUCCCUUACCUACCUUUCUCUUAUCAAACUAGAUAGCUCUGUGUAACUUCUGGUUUGGGAACUCUGCUUUCUACUACUUCUUGCAGCUCCCUCCUCUUUUUUUUUCUUCUUCCCCUGACAGUCUCAAGUCUGUUCCAGAAUGUUCAGAUCAUUUUAGAGACAUCUUGGUUCCUCCACCAAUCACCUGCAGAAGGCUUAUUUUGCAGAGCAAUGACAGGAGAGGUUACUUACAUAAGUGUUUAAAGGGAAUAGCAGAAUGAUUUAAUCAGACAAACAAAUAAAAUGCAAAUGAGGUCUGUUUCACAGCAAAAAAAAACCACCUACACUACUUUGAAAACUUGUUUUUUCACAAUGAAAAGAUAGUCUGUUGUUGGUACCACAUUUAUAUCUCUGCUAAUAUCAUAAUUCAAAGUCAUGGGUGAGUUUCUGAAAUCUUAACUAUGUUAUUUCAUAUUUAUACUAUAAAGCUCUGUAUUAUUUGAUCUCCCUUAUUCUUCUGCACAAUAUUCCUUUCUCUGAAGACAGAGCCACAUUUACCUUAAUAUUAUGUCCUAUGAUGAUGAGAGGAAUUUGUCAUAACCCCGUUUGCAGAAGCAGCAUAGUAAUUGCAAAGAAGACUGCUCUGUCAGUGUUAUGAAAAACACCAUAAACAACCAAAAAACCUUCUGCCCAUAGAAAUAAACUAAUUUCAUAAACUUAUACUAAUUUCACUGAUAAGUAGUGUUGGUAUUUCUUUCCUUAUCCUACCCAAGGUAAGUACAGAAAGAUGCCAACGUAUUUCCGUAGGCAUUUUCAUGACACUUUGCAACCUGCACUGUAUGGUGUUUAUUUUUUUUUAUAAGUAAUUCAGUCAUACCCAGAGGCUGUCAGUCAAGGGUCUAUGGUACUUGCACUGUGUAUGACACAAUCAGAAAUGAAAAAACAGUUGUUUCCCAAAGAAUGCAUUGUCUCAAAUGAUAAUCCCUUAAAGUAUACUCAGUAUGCCCGAAGGCUGUAUGAUUCUUAUGGGGCUUUUGAGAGCAUAUGAUGAGUAGGAGUGAAUCUGCAAUGGCUUGAUUCCCAGAGAUGCGGAGGAAUUACCUCUUCACGCCGCUGGCUGCAUUGCCUGCAGUAGAAGUGUCAGAAAGCAGUGUUAACUGUUUUGAAGUCUUUCCUAGUGAGGCCCAUUUUUUCAUUGGGAGCAUUGCUUUGGGAUGGAAUUGAAUUUUGCAGCCUGCCUUAGAGGGGAAAAGCAGGCAUGCAGAAAUGAAUGAAGCCUCUUUUUGGGGGAGCUGGAGUAGGAAUGCCUGCUGGUUGUGGUAUUUUUUAAUUGGAACACAGUGUAAUACAUGGCUUUUGAUGAUAAUACUCUUAAAGUCUAUUUUUUCUUUAGUAUCUUUAACAUAAAUAUGUCUCGAAACAGAUGAGAUAUUCCCAUUAAUAAGCAUUUUGCAGUCAUAAGUGAGUUGAGCUGUGAAUUUAGACAUAAUUGCAAUCUUACCGUGGGGGAAAAGGAAAGCUGUACUGAUGUUCUUAAGAUACUGUUGGGGUGGGUGGAGUGGGGGAGGGAAGAUAACUGUGAAGUAAAGUCCCUUCUUAGAAAGGGCGCACCACUCUAAAUGUUGCCAGUGGAUGCCAUACACUUACCUAUGGACUGGUUUUGAUCUGCAGCUGCAGUGAGUUGGGAUUAGACUUUCUAUGUGCAAGAUGAGUCCUGAACACCAAACACUUCCACUUCAAGGGUCUUAUAAUUGCUUUUAAUACCAGAUGUACCAUGGCCCUUUUCCCUACAUAUGCAUGGUAUGCAGGCAGAUAGAGUUUACAUGUGGACAUGCUCAUUAUACUCUAACUAACCCCAAGCAGCAGGAGGGCCAUAGAGAACAAAAAGGUUCAUCCUUUUUCGUGGAGGCUCUGUGCUCUUCUGUCAUGCUGCAAGUCAUACCAUGAGAGAGUUGCCUCUGAGCUCCUGAGGAAGAUGAUGGUGACAACAGGUGGUGACAGCAGAAUUGUUUGUCCCAUUGAGAGUCUUAUGCCUGCAUGUUUCCAAGCACCCUCCCAAAAGGGGAAGCUAGUCUUGUGCCAGUAUGAAGCUAGCCCACAUCUAAAGUGGGCACCCUGGAUUUAGGAACUAGAGCUGUGGCUUAGCUGUCUGUUGACCUGUACUCUAUCAGACAGCCCCAUGCAAUUCCCACUCAGCUUGCACUUCUCCACCUGAGAAGCAGGGGAGAAAACCCGAAGGUCUUUGAAGCCUACUGACAAAAGCAUGAUACAAGAUUGUGGCAUUGCUUAAUGCUUCUCUUCAUGAGAAUGCUGUUAAAACAGCAGACGAGGAAGGGAAUUACUCAGAGCUGUUUAGAACAACCGUUCUCUUUUAAAGGACUCUUCAAAAUGCUGUCUGAGUCAUUGUAUAUUCUUCCCUUCAGAUAGGUCCAGGUGAUCAGCUCACUGCUGCAUAUUCAACAGCAUAUAACACAGGAGUCACAGUCAGUUAUCUGGGUGACAGGUGAAGAUGUGUCCCCCUGAAAUGGAUUUUUCUGCUUAUCUCUUGUUUAGACAAAAAUAAGUGCCUGACUUGGGUAAUGGGGUGGAAACAGGAAAAGAGGAAAUGAAAACAAGUGGGAAAGAGUUGAGGUCAGUCUGCAGCUUUCACACUCCUUUAACAAUAGUGUUAGAAAAUAAUCUGGGAAGAUUUUUGAAAUAUUUUUCCAGUCCCCACCCUGCAGACCAUUCUACCCGCUAGAACAAAUUCUGUCAUGAGAUGUCAUGGGCAGGUAGGAGAGGUAGGAAGACAGUAUUGACAGACUUACAGUAAAAGCUGAGCAUCUGUCAGUCUUACUGAAAAGAAUGAGACUUGCAGGUUGUUGGCAAUGCUAAGAGCUUUCACCAGUGGCAUGAUCACAUGCAUAAAUCUAGUCUUUCCAAAUUGGUGUGGGCAGCAAACCAUGAGCUGUCUGGAAGCAAGCAGAAUUCAUUAAUUUUGUAGACCUAAUCCUCUCUAAGAAGGCUUUUAGGCAUAGUUAAUUAUCUAAGUGCUGUGUUGCCAUGUUACCCAAGAUGUUGCAAUUGUACAUGGAUGGAUGCAAUAGCAGAGCCUCUUCAUGUAUUUGUGACUGUUUAGUGCUGAACAGCAAGUUUUUCUAGUGAGGCAGACUGGUUUGCAGGUGAUGCAAUGAGCUGAAAGGUAUGCAAAAAUUAUAAUUGUCUGAGAUGGCAGAAAUAUUACCCAGAACAGUGCAGUAACUCAUGACUGGUACAUUCAUUCUGUGAUUAUCCAUACAGUUUUAUAUUUCUUAAUAGAGGGUUUUUUAAUGUUUCCUGGGUUCCAAACCAAAAGCCAGACUCUGAAGCUGAAAUAAAUAGUGUUUAAACAAAACAAACGUGUUAGAGAAUUAUUUUGGCUUUAUUCUAUUAAGUGAGGAAGAAGUUGAAAUCUGGGGAUGACAUGAGUUCAGUGAGGGGAAAUGGCAAACACUAAUAGGAAAAAAAUGAAAUUAGCUGAUCUGUAGAGUUAUUCUGAUACAAGCAGCCUGAAACAGCUCUUUGAAGGGGAAAAAAACCCCAACCUAUUCUAGCAUUUCACAGUCCAUGUCUCUGAAGGAGCAGGAAGAUUUUUCUCACAUUUGUUGGGCUCUUUCAUUUUACCAGCCUCUUUUCCUGGUUGCUUCCUGUCUCUCCUCUACUCCCUAGCAUACCUAUGUCAAUCUCUUGCUGUGACUGUGCUUCCCCCAAAACUCAAAUGGCACUAAGUCAACUUCUGAGAGGGAGAGCAAGCCAUUUAAUGUAAUGACCGUCUUAUGUCUAGAUAAGCUGUACCGGUUUCUUAUGCAUGGCUGGUUUCACAUCCUCCAGUCUUCUACAGUUUAACUCUGCAUAUUUCCUUGUGAAGGGGAAACAAAAUACUUUUAGGUCAGCUUUUAAGAAUACUCCGAAACUUUCCUAUUUGUUGUUGGUAAAACAGCUGCUCUGUGGAUGUCAGCAUUUCUCUGGGAUAAUCAGCUUAAUUUGUAGAUCAGUUCUUGAGCAAUGGAGUCACCCCAUUCGAAGUUACAGCAUUCUGAAUUUUAUUACACGCAGCCAUUUGUUAUAUGUAUGGAUGUGUCAGUAUCAUGAGAGAAUGCUUGUUACUUUAGAUGGUGUCUUUGCUUUCAAACUAAUUUACAAGCCAAUUCUGGUAUGUUCACAGCCAGAGUUAUCAGAAAUUAUUGCAUUUCUGUGAGCCUGAACUCCUAAAGUAACUCCUAAACCUCCUGAUUUGGUAUUGGUUAUUUGAGAUGUUCCAAUAGUCAGUAUCUACACUAUAAAUCACAGUUCAGUAUGUAGGGCGUUUGUAUUAUAUCAUUGCAUCUCUUGUCAAACACAAGUGGCAUGUGUAUGUUGGAUGAGGAGGGAGGGAGCAAAUUCUCUAGUUGUAUUGCUUCUAAAUUAUAUUUAUUGGGCCAGAGAAAGAGAUGGGUUCUGGGGCCUGAGGAUCAGAACACCCCUGGAUACUGGAGACUCGAUUCAAGUCUCUUGUCUGAAUAAAGCAGAAAAGGUUUAAACUUGGCUGUGCAAGUGGUCAAAGAUUAGUUAUUCUGAGGUAGGCAACAUUCCUUGUCUUGAUCAAAAAUACCAUAUCAGAUCUGACAGGUAAUCCUACUGGAUGUUUCACCAAAGCUGCAAAUAUUUUAAGAGGAGGUUUGAUUUCAACAAAUACCUGAUUUUUGUAAUACGAAACAGUUGCAGCACAAGAUGUACUAUUUUGUCCUUUCUGGUCAAACAUGAUACAAGCAGCUUUUGUUUUCUUUCCUUGCAGAAAAUAUUCUGAAAAGUCCAUGCAGCUUGUUGUUAUAUCUUUAUGUCAGGAUUUUAGGGGAAAGGAUCCUUUUAUUAUACUUUUUAUUUAAAUCUUAGUAUCAUAAUGCAAAGUGAUUUGAAUGCAGGUACUGUACUCAACCAAAUAACUUUCAUGAAGGAUAUGGAGCUAACUACAGUUCUUGGUCAAAUUAUUUCUCCUUUAAAUCAAGUGCAUGCUUAGAACUGAAAGGCAACCCCUGUUCUCUGUGUGAUUGAAGUAAUCACUAAAUACCAAGCUCAUUGCUGAAGGCCAGAGGUAUAUAUGGAGUAUUAUGUACUCUGCACAGUAUCUGUGCGAACAUUAUGCACAGCUCUGUUUAAGGCUGUGUUUCUCAAUUCUGUCCAUGUUUUAAGCUUCAGGGGGAAAAAAUAGCACUGUUAGAAUGUAGGCCAGAUUAAUAUGAAUAAUGGACUGGAAUAGCUGAGAUACUGGCUUAGUUGAUGCUGCAUCAUCAAACCUGCUGCUCUCACUAUUCUGACACAUAAUACACAACCAAUGCAUUUAAUGCUUUUUCUUUAUUUCACCUGCUAAAUGCAGUGUUUUUUUUAGGGGGUGUGAUUGUAUCUGGAUCAUCAAUGUUUGUGUGACAUUGUCCAUAAAAAGUGACCUGUGUAUGAAAUAAUUGGGCUGAGCGGCAUCUAUGCAAUUACCGACUCGGUUGUAAAUACUGUCAGUAUUUCUUGGUGAUAGUUUUACUAGUCACACCACAAAAACCACUCCAUAGUGACUUUGUGACUUUCUUUCCUGCAAAAGGUGAGAGGACAUAACCCUCCCCUUGAGUAGGAGGCCUAGUGUUAACUGUGAGAAACUGAGGAGUUCACGAGUGGUGGUAACCAUAGUUAUUGUGUCUUUAUGGAGGAGGAGAAGGUUUAUUUAAGUAAGGAAAUAGGUCCACAACUCAAAUGAGUUAUGUUUUGUUUUGUUUUAUUUUUCUGGCUUUAACUUUUAACAAUGUUCCCUGGCAACAUUCUGAUCUGACAAACUGCUCAGCCUUUGACCUAGAGUUUAUUUAGUUGAGAAUAUAGUUGAUGUAGUAUUAUUGAAUGUCCUUAGAUUUACUUAAGUAUUAUUUAAGUUAAUAAUUUUGCAGAUCUUUUGGAACUAGUAAACACAGCAGGAGGUAACCAUUAAAUUAUAAAUUUAAAGCUGCUGAACUGUUACUGCUGUAUAAUUAAAAUGCAUAAUAAGCUUUUUUCAGGUAGAACCUUUUAUUAGUGUCUGCUGUGUGAACUCAGUAAAUGGCUGUCUUCAUAAUGCAGCAGAUAACCCUGUCAUUAGCUCCAUCCUGAAUACGUUAUUGCAAGAUGUUCUCCAGCAAGUGGACCACAAAGAUGGAAAUUAUCUCUGCAAAUACAUUGAGAAUAACUUUCUAAACUAGCAGCAGCAGUAGUCAUCUGGUCACUCUUGUUGUCUAAUUAGUGGCAUAAAGACCAUGUUAUUUUAUAACUCUGUAAAAUGUAGGUGUUAAAAAAGAAAAACAACCAAAAAACAAAACAGCAGCCUUUAGUACCACUCUGAAAGUAUGGAAAUGGUGUACAAAACACAAUUUUAUUUUUUUUUUUAACAAUCUAGCAUUUGUAGUGGAUUGGAGAUAGCUGAAAACACAAUUUGAUAUAACUGAUUUGUGUUUAGAAGUUUAUGCACGUAAGUACCUGAGAUGCCACCAUUUUAAUGCACAAUAUGGCAUUAAAUAGUGUCCAGUAUAAUAAUAAAAAUACUGCUUUUAUUUUUUCACUGGGUUUUGUUGUAGGAAGAGGUCGAUGCUCAGUGUCCAGGUAAGUUAACCCCAUUGAAAGAUCAUGAGGAAGGAGGUAAAUUUUUGCUGAACAUGGUAAAAAUCUAUACUUGCAAGUUUUGAGCAAAGAAAUUAAUUUAAAACAGUCUCUGGCAAUGUCAGCUAUGGUAUGCCGUGAAAUGAAUUAUGCUAAUUGAAAGAGUAUGGUUUAUACAGCAUAUUAAAGGGCUGUCUCUUCUGUAUUAGUGUAAUUAAAGCCUUAAUAAAAGGUCACCUGAAAGCAAAAUCUCAGAAUAGGCUUUUUGUUACAAUUGUCUAAAUUUUUUAAAAUCCUAAUUUGAUGAAAGUAUCUUAUGAUACUCAAUAAAUGACACUUCCUAAAAAAUUUAAUUCUUGCCAGUACAGAGUGAGGACAAGGAUGUUAAUAAGUGUGCUGCCACAUUGUGUUAACCCGUAAUUUACAUUAUAUCAUGGAUUUAAAAGCAAACAGGUAUCACCUGUCAAAAUGUGCUGCAUAUAUGAGGAAAAAAUUAUAUAUUUUACUUAGCUGCUAUCAUAACUUAGGGGCCUAAGUGAAAUAAAAGCUUGAUCAUAGGAGCCAUCAGCCUGAAGCUGGCCCUGAAGCUUAGUUCAGCCCUACUGUUCGGUAUCAUCUGAGAACAGUCCUAAAAACUUUCAUUUUCAGGUCCAUGAAGAGUAUUUCUUUUUCUCCCCCAAAUGUGAAGUUGUUCCUGUGCUGUUCUGAGGGAUUUCAGGAACAAGAGCACCCAGCUCUGAAUUGUAGGGGGAAUAAAGACCUUUUUUUUCCACCCACUUACUCUGAGUGUAAGAAAUCUGUGGGUUUGGGAAUGAGGUACCAUGAAAAUAAUUAGUUUUGAGCUUGCAAAUGGAUACAGAUGACAUCUUCAACAUGUUUCAUACAGGGUGACUCCUCCUUUUGUUAGCAGUUGCUAGCAGCCAUUUUUCCAGAAAGUCAAUGAGAUCUUGCUCUUCUUUUAGGGAGAUGUAAUGGGUCAAAUGUCUUAAAGGCGUGCAAAUCCCCUGGCAAGGGUAGGGUUACUUUCUGCACUUCCCACAUGCGUGGCUGGUGUUGUGAUCAUCUGUGCCACAGGUGUUCAAUGCCUGGACAUGGUGCAUAAAUAGGUUUUAACCUUUCUCCAAAAUCCUUCCAAAUACACUUGAUUUGUAUCAAUGGCAUCUGAGGAUUAGGAGGAACUCAGCCUUUCAUAUGCUCAUACCAUAUCCCUUCCUUUCCCUCGCUCAGGUCAAAAUUUCAGCUGCUGGUCUAUCUUGGCUCCCUCACUUGGUUAGCCAUACUUGUUAAUACACGUAAACCAUUCUUCUCAUUAAAAGUAACAGUCUUAAGGGCACACACUUACUUUAAACAAUUUAUGGGUCUUCAGUUUAAAGCCAGCAUUAGUGACAAUUAGUCUUUGGCAUGAAGAAAAAUAACUGUAAGGUACUGUAGCCCUUAUUAUACCUGGGUAGGGUGCCAUCCACACUCUUCAGAAGUCUCUGUGGGAUUUUCAUGCUAUAUUUAAAGCAUCCUGUAAGUUAGGAAGCUAUUUUGAAUUGGAAUGAAUGCUACACUUACUUCAAGCUUCUGGAAUGAGCCAUGGUAUCCUAAACUCCAAAAAUACUACCUGUAACCCCAGAUUCUGAUACGUAGUGCCAAAUCAGAAUGCUCUGGUAUUAGGGUGAAUUUGGGCUGCCUUUUCUUGAUCCUGGGGGUCACUGCAACCAUCCUGUUCUAUUUGAGAAUGUCAGCAUUCUCUCCUUACCUAGUCAUAGCUGGUUCAAAAAUGGCCAAGGGCAGUUGGUACUAUAGCAGGUGUUUAAAAAAGCAAUAGGCAGCCGAAACAAGAUGUUCUUUUUCAUCCAUUGGCUAAGAUUAACAACGCUAGGAAAUAAAUACAGAGUCUUUCUGCUAAUUUUUUGACAGGAGUUGCAAAAUAAAAGUACUCUCCUGACCUGCUGUCAAAAUUACUUUCAUGUCUAGAAGAUUCUUAUCUCACUUGUUUGCUUAAAUCACCUAACGAAUUAUUCCAGAUUAAAUUAUUUUGCCAGCUGUAUGGGGUGGGGUGGAUGAGGACGUCUCUAUUUCGUGUCUGCUUUGCUUUCUUGAUGACAUGGUCAAAGGUCUAUAAGUGUCACGGCUUGUUUGAACAAUAACAAACCAAACCUAUUUGAACAGUUUAAUUGCCUGCUGCUUCGUUGUGCUUCUUUUCAGUGUAAUAUUUCUAAAAUUAAAGUAUGUGCUGUGUUGGCAUAUAGUUGUCAGUAGUUCAGGAUGAAUGCAUGGAGUUGUGGGUAGUAGGCCGUUGGAGGCAAGCCUCUGAUGGAAAGAGUGAACAGAUUAUUAGGGUGCCAGAAUUGUUUGGUUAUUCUAUCCCUGAGGCACACCAGAACUAUCCUCUCUUCUGAGGGAGAAACUUUCCCACACUUGAGAACCGUAUGCCUUAGUUGUAGCAGUUGGCUGCAAGGACAAAUACUGAUAUUGCUGUGGUCUGUGGUCAUGUGGGCGACCUCUAACCUUGGCCCUGGGCAUUCAUCCUUGCUCCAUGUGGGCUGGCACUCUGCUGUGUCCUCCUUCCAUAUGCCUGGGAUGCUGAUGGGGACUCCCUCCCCUAUCUGCCUUUCUGUGCUCUAGCCUCCAUAUUCUCCCUCCUGGAGUCUGCCAGCCUUUCUUUGCUCCCAGCUUUCAAAGAUGUUCAGAUUAAGUAUGUUGUGAGUGAAGGAGUAAAUAGAUGAAGGUUGCAUUUGGAAAGUGAAAGUUACGGACCCUUCCAGAAAGUGGAACAGUGAAGGCAAAGAGAUUAUGCAGGGUGGAAGGGUGCAGGAAGGAGUUGGCUAAACAGGGCACCUUAUGGAGGUUCACAGCUGCUCUGUGUGUAGCUGUCAGGUUUCCUGUUAAUCUGGUUACACGUGUUUCUUUAUUAAAUAGUCUUUUUUACACUAUCUUGAGGAACCCAAGCUGCAACUAAGAGUGGUAUAAUUUUUGUGUUGAGAAUGGAGUAUAUGUUCACUGAGAAAUCCUGGAAGAUACUUCUAUCCUUUUACAACCACACAUUCCAUGGCCCACAAAAUGAUGGUUUUGUCCUGUUCCUCAGCAACUCCCUUUUCCGCCUUUCUGGGCUUAAGUUUCUGCUGAGCUUUGCUUCCUCACCCUACAAAACGUUAUUUUAGACUGUAAUCUCCAACAUUUUCUCUGAAGAAAAUAUGCUGAUCAUAGAUAGCAGGACACAUUAAUCAUCUUUAAAAAAAAAAUACAAGCAGAUAGUGGCUGUGAACAUUUGUUAGCUCUCCAUGGCAAAACACAGGAAUAUGUGCAUCUUGUCAAAGCCCAUGUUGUGUCUUCUGAGAGUAACAUCAUUUACUUUAUUGAAUUUCUAGAAAAUAUUCUUUAGGUGACCUAAAGAAAUAGGCAAGUGAGCAAAAGAGUUAAAAACCAACCCACCAAAAAAAAAAAACCUACCCCACACCUGUUCUGCAGAGUAUCAGGAACUACAAGAUUUUGUGGGAAAUGUGUCCUGUGGAGAUGUGCAUGUGUAUCCUAAAUGCCAAUGGCAAGACCCCAAUGAGACAUCAGAAAGGUUUGCAUUUUCAACCAACUCACACAGAUCUAGUAUUUUUAUACAACAUGAUAACAUGUUUCUAGCUUUGGGAGUCUGAGGUGAAUAAAGUGGGGGGAAAAAACAAAGCAGAAUAAACCUCCUGUAAGCUCUAGAGAAUUUGUGAAUUAAUUAAGUUUUAAUUUCAGGUCAGUUUCAUCUAGAUGCAAGUCUAGAUGCAAUUCCUUUCCUAGAAUGGAAAGAGGUGUAAGGAUUGAUAAUUUACAUGAACAGGGUUGCUUGCUGUCCGGAAGAAUAAGAAGUGAAGAGCCAUUGGUUUUUCCCAGUGCAUGUAAGUUGUCAUAGAGGUUAUCCCAGCUUGCAGGAACAUUCCUGGCAACAACGACAAAAAAAGUGAUCAUCACUUCCACAAUAUUGAAGACAUAUUUGCAGAAUGAUUGACAAGAUGAGGAGGUGGUAUAUCAUUUCUUUGCAUAUCAAGGGCCUAGUAGCGAAUGAAACCAAAACUAGAACUUAGCUGCUUUAUUUAUCCCUUGAACAGGUGCAAUACAAGCAGCUGCAAUGAGAUCUUUUAUACAUUCCACCCACGAUUCCGUGGAGUUCAUGUGUCGUAAAGACAACCUGGAAAGGAGACAGGACACUCUUGUACAGUAUUGUAGUUUGUAAGUACAGUGUGAGAUGAUGAUCCUUCUCAUGAGGAAGAAAUUCAAAGCUAGAUCUGAAUUUCAUGGCAUUUGAUAAUAUGGGUAGAUGUCUUUUUCUCUUGCCACUCUGAGUCUUUAGCUCAAUUACUUAAUUUGGUCUGUAACCUUUUUUGUUUUAUUAAAACACUUUGUAGGUCAGGAGACAGCACGAAGGAGUAGUUUUAGGUUAACACUUAAAAUAAUUUGCCUUAUAAACUGGACAUUUGAGUUAUAUCUGAGGAAAUCAUUGCUAAGAGGAUUUAUAAGCAGGAUUGAUUUAUUUAUUUUGUCUAUAUUAAGAUUUGAUCCUCUUCCACUGGUUUUGCAGAAAGUGAUUUGAGUCCUGAUAUUAAAUGCAUCUCCAAGCUUAGAAGGCCAAGCAAGAGCUCUUGCCAUGUAGUUGAUUGUUAAAGCUCUUUGUUCAGUGUGUAGAUAAAAGGUUUAGGAAGAAACUCUCCUUGUUGGCAUUUAAUAUUAGGACAUCCGCAGUGAAUGUUCUGGCCUGGAUGCCAGAAGUCCUUAGUUUUAAUCUUCCGCAAAAGUAUCUGCUCUUGACUGCUGUCUGAGAGUAGUGUCUGUCUAGCCCAUGCAUCCACACUAGGGUGAGACUGACCUGGGAUAUGCUAAUACUGUAAAGAGAGAUGUGUAGAAAACACUCUCUAAAUUAUAUUUUUCCAUUGCAUAGAACCAAAUUUUACAAUAACAAAAUAUGGAUCAGGAACGAGCAAGAAAGCCCCCAAAUUGCCAAAGUCUCUCUGAAAAAAAAAAAAAAAAAAAAAAAUAAAGAGGGUGCAUGCCAUCUUCCAAAGCUGUUCAUAUCCUCUCACCAUUGCUACAAUCACAUUGAGGUGAUACUCAGUAAAAAUUCUUUUUCUCAAUGUGUCAUAAAGAGAAAAGCAUUUUUCUGACUCAGUUCUAAUACCUUAAAAGAGGUAAUGGUAACCACCUUGAAGAAGUGAAGUUGAAACAUCUACUUGUUUCUUAAUAUUUAUUUGAAUAUUUUCAUUUAUUUUAGUUUAUUUCAGUUUUUUUUAAAAAAAAAAAAAAGAAAAUAAAGGAAAUAAAAUGAAGUAAAAGCAUGUUUGUUUAGAAAGAUAUAAAAUCUGAGAACAGAUGAAGGUGGUGGUGACUUGCAAAGUCCUUGGUACAUUUUUAGUUGAGCUUAGUUUUACAUUAUAGUUGGUAUGCAAGAAGUGUUCUCCUCAUUUUCUUUCCUGAAUGUAUACUGCCCAUGACCUGUGUUUUUAUCUUUGGGUGUAUGUGGCCUGUAGAAACAUCUCUGCUGCUUUUUUAUUUAUAUCCCUGUGAUGAACAGGUACUCUUGAUAUAUAUACUAAUAUAUAUAUAUAUAUAUAUAUUUAUUUCCUUUCUCUGUCAUUUGUCACACCAUGACUUACAUUUUGUUCAGUUUAUCUUGCUUUGCUACCAGAAUAAGUAAAAAUCCAUACUGUUUUGAUGGUAUCUUUUUAUUUUUUUGUCCAGCUUCAUUCAUUUAGUAUUCAAGAACAUGGUGACUUGGAUUUUUCUCCCAAGUGCUUUGUUUCUUUUUGCUAAUAUUUUUGUAUGCCUUACCUAUUUAGACAAGUUUUGUCGGCUUUGGGUAUUUUCUUCUUGAAUGAGUUUACAAAACUUGCCCAGCAGGCUCAGCAUCUCUGACUGAACUUCUGCACACUACUCACACCAGGGACAAGCAGCCAAUGGUUUGUGUCUUGUGACACUUUCUUCUCUUCCUCUGGUGGCUUGUAUCGCUUUGUAUUGCAAAUAGGUUGCAUUGUGACAGUUCUCAAUUUAAUUAGGUAACAUAACAGAGAGAGCACCGUGGCCUAUAAGCUGCACUUAGAAAUUGAUAGUAUGAAUCUUAUCCUCUGCUUAGCUUUGAAAUGCAGCUUUUUGUUCCUGUAAUGCCUGACAUUGUCUUUAAAUGGAUUGUCUUUUUCCUUUCUGCUCUUGCCUCUGACACUUCCAUCUUUCAUUCUUUAUGGCUCAUUUUCUAGCUUCACUCCAACCCGCUCUUAUCCUUAGUCUUCCCGUAAAGAUGGCUGUUUAGAUCCUCUAAGUAGGAACCCAAGUAGGAAGUAACUAAAAGACUAGAAAAACUGCAGCAAUACUGGAAGUGUACGUGUAUAUUCCAGGAUAGUGAGGUUGUUAGCAAGCUGUGUGUAUACUGAGUGAUAUCUAGGAUGCAUGUGGAAAUGACUGUUCCACUAUUCCUGUUUUUCACUAUCAAAGUAUUCAUCAAUAUCCUGCUAGGACUGGGAUAGUAUAUUGAAGCUUAGUUUUGCGUUGAGUAAUGUCCAGAGAAAUGCCAGGGUCAAAUCUGAAACAAGAGAGAGCAUUGCAAGCCUAUGUUCUGGCAUAGGAGCAUAAGGAAAAAGUUUGAAGUCUUGCCUAACCGCUAUCCUUCAAUAACAAUCUUCCUAUUCUAGUUAACACAAGCUUAAUGUAUUUUAAUUUAAACAAGGAAGUUGGAAGCUUGGAGAAUAAAUAGUCCUGUUUUUGCUUCAGUGUUUGUUCACAAUAUUUGUAUAGGGAUUUAGAACAAAGAUGAUUUAUUUUGUGUUGAUCUAUAUGUUAUUUUAAAUGUGUUGUGGUGUUAGUAGCAAGAAGUAGUGUUUCCCAAUAGGAGCAAAAUAAUCAUAACCAACCAACAAAAAAUGCUAUUCAAGUCAUAAAAGUUUAGGUAGAAUAUAAUUAAAUAGUUCUUUUGGUUUCACAUACUUUGUCCCAAGUACUGAGUGUCUGUGGCAUGACCAUUUCCGAAUGUCAAGACUCCUCUUUCCUUUUUUUUCUUAGUUUUAUCAAAGUAUGAAAGUAUUGACUGAGCGAGAUGCUAUUGUUGGCAAGCCUUUGAUGGACACUCCUGGAAUUUCGUUGCAGGAGCCAUGACUUCUGUUUUAUCUGAAAUCUCACUGGCUCUUGAUGACAGACAAACGCUGUUUUUAGCCUUGCACUGAAGGUCAGGCAAAUGACUGGUUUCCAAAUAGAGUAACUGAAGAUACUGGAACAGAUUUAUUCCUGGUAUAAUUCCACUGGUUCUAUGAAGUUACAGGGGAAACAUAUUUGUUCAGAGAGCCUUAUGAGUUGAAGGAUAACACUGCUGUUCUCAAUCACUUGUGUAUAAUUGGAGGUUGGAAGACAUUGUUUAAUGUAAAGUUAAAAGUCCUUCUGUAAGAGAAAUGCUACACUUACUAAGAUAAAACUAAUAAUUUUACCUGGUAUAAACCAUCAUAACUCCAUUAAGGAGACUGAACACCAUAGAAUGUGUUUUUUUUUCUAAUAUAAGAGAAUCUUGCUCUAUUUUUUUGAAUCAGAGGUGAGGUUGAUGUUUUCUGGCUGUGUAUUUUUCAUAGAUUUUAGCUAUAGUUUUGGCAUACCUCAAGUCUAUAAACUAUCAAGCAGACUGGUUAGAUAUUUCACUUUAUUUUUGCAAGUUAUAUGUGACCUUAGUUCAUAUACAAAACAAGAAGCUGAUUUUGCAGAUGGAUCAAGAAAAGUCAGGAGUAAUUUGUGGAAAAAAAAACCCUAGAUAUUGUUGUACCAUUGCUCAGGUACUAGAAAAGGAAUAAUAAAUAGCUUUGUAGAAUGACAUUGCAAAGACCAAAACUACUAAAUACUGUGAAGAAAUUCUGAUAGGAGAAAUUUCGUUUGUGUGGAUCACAACCUCGUAGAGUGUUUUCAACUCGUGAAAACACAGGAGCACAUACAUGCUUACGGCUGCAAGAAGUGUAUGUGUGUCAGCAGGGAGGUGUUGCUGUGCCUAACAAGGGAGGGCUUUUCAUCUCCUACUUUGUUAGAGUGAAUUGCUCAAUCUGCGUUGAGAAUGUAUGAAGUUAGAGAUGCAGAGAGAUUCUUUGGUUGGGAAAAGCUGUCAUCUGCUAUGCCACUUUGUGCUUGAAGGACUGGGAAUAUGUUGAUUACCAAUAGCCUGUGUGACACUGGGAGUUGGUGCAAAGAUUCAAGAUUAACUUUUACAAAGACAGCAUUAUUGAGAAUGUGAAAUAACUGUAAACUAUGAUUUAGAUUUUGGAAAAUAGCUGCAAAUACAAUUUUUACAGUUCUGUGGCAGAAAUGUAACUUUUAAAACUCAAACAACAUGUUUUAAUAUGUUGAUCUUACUUUCACCAAGAGGUUACACUUUAAUGAGCUUUUCCUUUAGAUGUAGCAAAAUAUUUCUUUAAUGACAGAGACCCCGAUGAUCAUGAAGUACAAACAACUGUUGUGAUGAAGAGGCAGGAUUUCUUCGAAUUCAUUUUGCUUUGACUAAUGUUAUAUCCUGAUGGUUCUGCUUUUCCAAACCUUUCGCAACAUAAGCUCUUUUUAAAUCCCUCAAACAAUCCUGCGCUCACCCUAUACCCUACGUUCUAAUGUCAAAGCAAAUCUAUGUUCUACUUGUGGCACCUGCUGCAGCACAUACUUCAGCUGCUUGAGAGUAGUACUGACCAUAACACCAUACUUGAAGUCCUGUCAACAUGGCUGUAAUAAAGACCCUUUAGAAAAAUGUAUAGCUUCACCCUAAAAUAAUUUAUCAUAGCUCAUAAGGAAGAGUUAAUUGACAUUUUAUUCUUGCAAUUAUUUGAAUUAGUGUCCUUCUUGAAACAGGGCCACAUCUGUAAGAGGAAUAGGAGUACUUUUUUUUUU